rnacentral:misc_RNA from 1 species
UACAGAGGUCCCAAGCGUUGUUCGGAUUCACUGGGCGUAAAGGGUGUGUAGGCGGCGCGGAAAGUUUGAUGUGAAAGCUUCAGGCUCAACCUGAAAAUUGCAUUGAAUACUACCGCGCUCGAGGAUCGGAGGGGAGACUGGAAUUCUCGGUGUAGCAGUGAAAUGCGUAGAUAUCGAGAGGAACACCAGUGGCGAAGGCGAGUCUCUGGACGAUUCCUGACGCUGAGGCACGAAGGCUAGGGGAGCAAACAGG